rnacentral:lncRNA from 1 species
AUUUUUAUUUGUUUAUCGUAAUUGAAUUCAACAUUAAUUUUGUUCAUCAUGAUAUAAUAUUUGAUAUUUAUAUAAUUGUUUUUCAUUUUUCAAAUUAAAUGUUGUUUUUCAUAUUAACCAAUUCCAAUUUACUUGACAUCAAGGUAUUAUUUUUUUUACGAUGAUUUUUGUUUUUUUUUUGCGCUUCUUCUAAUUAUGCCGAUUUCAUAAUUCAAAGUACUGUUAUUAUAAAGAUAGUGCAGCCAAAAUCUUUUAAGAAAUCAACGUUUAAACCGGCGCUACACGUUGGCAAUUUUUGUUGUUGAAAAAACGACAUUUUAGUUUCACUAGUACGGGACAUUUGAUUAUUUCUUUAUUGAAUAUACAUGUAGUUCAAGAAAUGUUUUAUUCUAUAACUAUAGAAAAAGUCCCUAUAACUAUAGAAAGUCCCUGCAUCAAUGUUAUUUCUAUAGAUACAGACAAACUAGAAUGCAUAUUUCAUUUAAUAUAUAUAUACCGGUAAUUUGUGAUCGAAGAAGGCAGC